rnacentral:rRNA from 1 species
UACAGAGGUCUCAAGCGUUGUUCGGAUUUACUGGGCGUAAAGGGCGCGUAGGCGGCCAGCACAAGUCAGUUGUGAAAUCUCCGGGCUUAACUCGGAAAGGUCAACUGAUACUGUGCGGCUAGAGUGCAGAAGGGGCAACUGGAAUUCUCGGUGUAGCGGUGAAAUGCGUAGAUAUCGAGAGGAACACCUGCGGCGAAGGCGGGUUGCUGGGCUGACACUGACGCUGAUGCGCGAAAGCCAGGGGAGCGAACGGG